AGAGUUUGAUCCUGGCUCAGGACGAACGCUGGCGGCGUGCCUAACACAUGCAAGUCGAACGGCCCGCCCCAUCGGAUUCCUUCGGGGAGAAGAUGGGUUCCCGGGCAGUGGCGGACGGGUGAGUAACGCGUGGAGAACCUGUCUCUCAGGUUGGGGAUAACCUGGCGAAAGUCGGGCUAAUCCCGAAUACGCCCUCAAGGUGGCAUCACUUUGGGAGGAAAGGUGCUUUCGGGCAUCGCUGAGAGGUGGCUCCGCGUCGGAUUAGCUAGCUGGUGGGGUAACGGCUCACCAGGGCGACGAUCCGUAGCUGGUCUGAGAGGAUGAUCAGCCACACUGGGACUGAGACACGGCCCAGACUCCUACGGGAGGCAGCAGUGGGGAAUCUUCCGCAAUGGGCGAAAGCCUGACGGAGCAACGCCGCGUGAACGAUGAAGGCCUUCGGGUCGUAAAGUUCUGUCCUCAGGGAAGAACCCUCAUGGGAUGAAAUGCCCAUGAGCUGACGGUACCUGGGAAGGAAGNCCCUGGGCUAACUACGUGCCAGCAGCCGCGGUAAUACGUAGAGGGCAAGCGUUGUCCGGAAUUACUGGGGCGUAAAGGGUACNCAGGCCGAUAUAUAAGGUCANAUUGUGAANGGCNCCGGCUCCACCGGGUGAGCGGCAUUNUGAAANCUGUAUAUCUUGGNNUUCAGGAGAAGGAGAGCCGGAAUUCCUGNUGGGNGNGGGGGGGAAU
rnacentral:rRNA from 1 species